AGCUUUAGGAAAAUAUCUAAGGUUAUACCUGCCCUAUGUUUAAAAUUAAUGGCCGCGGUACUUUGACCGUGCUAAGGUAGCAUAAUCAGUUGGCUCUUAAUUAGAGUCAUGUAUGAAUGGAGUUNACGGAAUUUAACUGUCUCUCAAUUAAUUAAUUGAAAUUGCUAUAUAGGUGAAAAAGCCUAUAAAUUGAAAAAAGACGAGAAGACCCUUAGAGUUUUACUUAACUUAGAAUUAUAUUAACUAUAAUAGUUUGGUUGGGGCAACAUAGGAGCAUUAGAUAAUCUCCUUUAUAUAUCAUAUCAAUAUUUAUAAAUUUGAAUAAACUACCUUAGGGAUAACAGCAUAAUUUAGUAAAUAAGUUUGUGACCUCGAUGUUGGACUAGGAAACUUAAAGGCUAGCCGUCUUUUAGAAUGGUUCUGUUCGAACUUUUAUUCCU
rnacentral:rRNA from 1 species